AUGAUCAUUAUUCAGAAUAUGUCGUUUCUAGCAUUUGAAUAUCUAAUGAUUAUGACAUGGAUGGUUCCUUAUUUUAUUUAAUUGCGCCUUUUGAUCAUGUUUAUUCUAUGUCCUAGGUAUAUGGCAUAUAUUAUGGACACUAAUGAAGAGGAGAGAGUUAAGGUACACCUUAUUCUGAAAGAACUAGCGAGGAAAUCACUAUCAGCAACACAGGUCCUUCAAAAAUAUGUAAAGAAUUGGAUAUCAAUUGUUGUACCAUUUCAGGAUAAGUGAUGACAUACCAGUUGACAAGGAUACUGGUUUGAGAUUGCAACUUGAUAUGCCAAUUUUUGAAAGUUUUUUGAAAGCAGAAUCAAACAUUUUGGACACUUUGAAUUUUAAUUUUUGUAAAAUUUUACUUUCUAUGUACUCAUUAUGAUUUGGGAAUGGAGUGUCUUUGAUGUGUA